CGGCGCGGGCGACGGUGACCGGGCCGUCGGCCGCACUGCCGGUGUGGCGCAGGACGAGGUGGCGUUCGAGCACGUCCGUGCCGGC
rnacentral:tRNA from 1 species